GCCGGGAUGGCGGAAUUGGUAGACGCGCACGACUCAAAAUCGUGUAUCGUGAGAUGUGAGGGUUCGAUUCCCUCUCCCGGCA
rnacentral:tRNA from 1 species